CGGGAAUUACUGGGCGUAAAGCGCGCGUAGGUGGUUUGUCAAGUUGGAUGUGAAAGCCCAGGGCUCACCCUUGGAACAGCAUCCAAAACUGGCUCACUAGAGUACGAGAGAGGUUAGUGGAGAUUUCCUGUGUAGCGGUGAAAUGCGUAGAGAUGGGAAGGAACACCAGUGGCGAAGGCGACUGACUGGCUCGAUACUGACACUGAGGUGCGAAAGCGUGGGGAGCAAACGGGAUUAGAUACCCCGGUAGUCCACGCCGUAAACGAUGUCUACUAGCCGUUGGGAGACUUGAUCUCUUAGUGGCGCAGCUAACGCGAUAAGUAGACCGCCUGGGGAGUACGGUCGCAAGAUUAAAACUCAAAUGAAUUGACGGGGGCCCGCACAAGCGGUGGAGCAUGUGGUUUAAUUCGAAGCAACGCGAAGAACCUUACCUACUCUUGACAUCCAGUGAAUUUAGCAGAGAUGCUUUAGUGCCUUCGGGAACACUGAGACAGGUGCUGCAUGGCUGUCGUCAGCUCGUGUUGUGAAAUGUUGGGUUAAGUCCCGUAACGAGCGCAACCCUUGUCCUUAGUUACCAUCAUUAAGUUGGGGACUCUAAGGAGACUGCCGGUGACAAACCGGAGGAAGGCGGGGACGACGUCAAGUCAUCAUGGCCCUUACGAGUAGGGCUACACACGUGCUACAAUGGCGUAUACAAAGGGUUGCCAAGCCGCGAGGUGGAGCUAAUCUCAUAAAGUACGUCGUAGUCCGGAUUGGAGUCUGCAACUCGACUCCAUGAAGUCGGAAUCGCUAGUAAUCGUGAAUCAGAAUGUCACGGUGAAUACGUUCCCGGGCCUUGUACACACCGCCCGUCACACCAUGGGAGUGGGUUGCUCCAGAAGUAGAUAGUCUAACCCUCGGGAGGACGUUAC
rnacentral:rRNA from 1 species